GCCAGCGUGGUGUAUUGGUUUGAGCACUGGACUAUGACUCUGGAGACCAGGGUUCAAUUCCCAGCUCAGCCA